UCACAGCUGUUGAAGCUGUCAGUAAGGCGCCUCAAAUCCUACAGAGACACCUUGCAGGUGCCCCCCCCCCAACGCCUCAGUUCGCGGUUUGGUGAAAUAAAGCCGGGGCUGAGGCGUUACCUGUGUGUUCACGGCUGCCGGCGAGGAGCUGCGGGUGCCCAGGGCCGGGGCCGGGGCGCUGCUCAUCCCCUGGGGCAGCGGCGGGCAGGGGCUGCUCGGGGUCCGGCCUCACCGUGCCAGGGCCGCGGCUCGGGGCCCGCCUGUGGGCGGAGGGACGAGAAAAACCUCAGGGGGAGCGAAGUCCGGCGCGAAGCGCGGCGCGCCCGGCGCUCCAACAGAGCCCCCUCAGCGCCACGGAGCCGCCUCACAACCCCCGGCACGGCCCCGACCGGCUGCCGGGACCCAGCUCUCUCUAUAGAUAUAUUAAGAAAAAAAAGGAAAAAAAAGGCAAAAAAUAGAAGUGAAAAGCGCCACCAGCCCCCCCCCCGCAACCCGGGCACACCCGCGGGGCCGCCCCCCGGGCCGAGGCCGCUCCGGGAGCUCCGAGCCCUGAGGCCGGGCCCGGCCCCGCCGCCCCCUCAGCCCCCGGUACCUCGGCGGGGGCAGCGCUGGGCCCGCGGCCGCGCAGGGCCGGCACCGAGAGGGGGCCGCGGGCGGCGGAGGCCGAGGGGGAGGCACCGGCCCCGCCCCGCCUCCGCCAGCGGCCUCAGCGCCCCCGGCGGCCGGAGGAACGCGGGGCACGGCCCCGGCCGCCCGCACAGCCCCGGUGGGUGCCGCUGGAGGCCCGAGGGUCCCGGCCUGCCCCGCACCCCACCCCCCCCCCGCCGCUUUUGUCACGAGAAACGAGAGGUUGAGAACGCAAUCCAGGAGAAUCCAGUGCAUUUAUUUCUUCCGGGUGUUUCAGCUCUGGGUUUUAACACAUACAAAGUAAUGGUUGCGAGUUUAAUGACAAGCAGCACUAGAAGCAAAUUACUGCGUAAAACUCAUAGAAAAAUGGGUUCUGUUCCUGAAAAAGAAAACAAGCAUUCCAAACAAAGGCCUCAUGAAGGAAGCAAGCGUACCCCUUAA
rnacentral:lncRNA from 1 species